rnacentral:rRNA from 1 species
AACGAACGCUGGCGGCAGGCUUAACACAUGCAAGUCGAGCGCCCCGCAAGGGGAGCGGCAGACGGGUGAGUAACGCGUGGGAAUCUACCCAUCCCUACGGAAUAGCUCCAGGAAACUGGAAUUAAUACCGUAUACGCCCUACGGGGGAAAGAUUUAUCGGGGAUGGAUGAGCCCGCGUUGGAUUAGCUAGUUGGUGGGGUAAAGGCCUACCAAGGCGACGAUCCAUAGCUGGUCUGAGAGGAUGAUCAGCCACAUUGGGACUGAGAAACGGCCCAAACUCCUACGGGAGGCAGCAGUGGGGAAUAUUGGACAAUGGGGGCAACCCUGAUCCAGCCAUGCCGCGUGAGUGAUGAAGGCCUUAGGGUUGUAAAGCUCUUUCACCGGGGAAGAUAAUGACGGUACCCGGAGAAGAAGCCCCGGCUAACUUCGUGCCAGCCGCCGCAGUAA